CGGAUGGGAGAGGCAUGCAAAGCAGAGAGAACUGUAAGAGCAAAGGCCUGAAGGUCUGUUACAUUUCCCAGAAUGGUUCCCAGUGCUGGAGAUAAUUCCUUUUCGGAGAACCUACAUUUCUCACCUGCUGAUUGCAAUUAGCCACUACCAGCUGGGGCCUGGUGUGCAGCUGAAAAGCUAACAAGAAGUGGAGACCACGCGGAACUCAGACAGGGCAUAGGAUGUGCAUAAAUAAGCAACGGUGCCUGUGUUUAUGAGAUGCUCCUGUGAAUUCGAGGCUUCCCCACCCUCUGCAUAACUCUCCCUCUUCUGGCUUUGUGCUGCACACCCCUCCCCUAACUAUAUUUUUUGUCUCUGGUUUUGUAGCCUACGUUUAACAUCACAGUCACGAAUUUACCACUAAGUACAUUUUGUUAGGCAAUAAACAGCCUUGGAAGAAAAAUGAAAUCCGACUAGGACUUCUGUUCUAAUAAUGUCUGUGAGCUGUGGUGGAUUCAGGCAGGCCCCACAUGCAGGUCUUAGAGCUAACCUUGACCAUGAGGGCUAGUGGGGCUGGGAGAGGGCUCAGGGACCCCAAUUCAACUCCCUUAUUUUAUGGGGGAGGAUACUGAAUCCCAGAACGGGAGCAUGGCCUGUCCAAAGUCUUAAAGGAAGUCACAGGACUGGAU
rnacentral:lncRNA from 1 species